CCGUAUGGAGAGCGGCAGACGGGUGAGUAACGCGUGGUAACAUACCCUUUCCUGCGGAAUAGCUCCGGGAAACUGGAAUUAAUACCGCAUACGCCCUACGGGGGAAAGAUUUAUCGGGGAAGGAUUGGCCCGCGUUGAAUUAGCUAGUUGGUGGGGUAAAGGCCUACCAAGGCGACGAUCCAUAGCUGGUCUGAGAGGAUGAUCAGCCACAUUGGGACUGAGACACGGCCCAAACUCCUACGGGAGGCAGCAGUGGGGAAUAUUGGACAAUGGGCGCAAGCCUGAUCCAGCCAUGCCGCGUGAGUGAUGAAGGCCUUAGGGUUGUAAAGCUCUUUCACCGGAGAAGAUAAUGACGGUAUCCGGAGAAGAAGCCCCGGCUAACUUCGUGCCAGCAUGCGCGAUAUGACCAGGGGGGCUAGC
rnacentral:rRNA from 1 species